UACGUAGGGUGCAAGCGUUGUCCGGAAUUAUUGGGCGUAAAGAGCUCGUAGGCGGUUUGUCGCGUCUGCUGUGAAAACCCGAGGCUCAGCCUCGGGCCUGCAGUGGGUACGGGCAGACUAGAGUGCGGUAGGGGAGACUGGAAUUCCUGGUGUAGCGGUGAAAUGCGCAGAUAUCAGGAAGAACACCCGUGGCUAAGGCGGCUCUCUAGUACGGUACUGACGCUGAGACGCGAAAGCGUGGGGAGCGAACAGG
rnacentral:rRNA from 1 species